UUUUAUGAUCUCUAUCUCUUUGUGUAAGUUCUCACUCAGUACAUCUCAUCUUCCCCUAAGAUCAUUAAGCAUCCUUACAACCAGUGUUUUGAACUCUGUAUCUGAUAGAUUGUUUGUUUCCAUUUUGUUUAGUUCCUUUUAAGGUGUUUUGUCCUGUUCUUUCAUUUGGGAUUUGUUUCUUUGCCUCCUCAUUUUGGCUGCCUCCCUGUAUUUGUUUCUAAGUAUUAGGCAGGUCUGCUACGUCUUCCAGCCUUGGAAACGUGGCUUUGAGUAGUAGGUGUCCUAUGGGACUC